UACGGAGGGUGCAAACGUUGCUCGGAAUUAUUGGGCGUAAAGCGCACGUAGGCGGACCAUCAAGUCGGAUGUGAAAUCCCUCGGCUUAACCGAGGACGUGCACUCGAAACUGAUGGUCUUGAGUACGAAAGAGGAUCGCGGAAUUCCCGGUGUAGAGGUGAAAUUCGUAGAUAUCGGGAGGAACACCAGUGGCGAAGGCGGCGAUCUGGGUCGAUACUGACGCUGAGGUGCGAAAGCGUGGGGAGCAAACGGG
rnacentral:rRNA from 1 species